UAACCACAGGAAAUAGACAGUGAAGUGAAAAUUCAAAAGCUGCUGAUCAGUGUUUAAUACUGUCAUAGAGUUUAAAGCAAGAUGAAGUUUCUCUUUAAUUCUCUUUUGUUGGUCACUUGGCUUACAUUUCAGAAGUGUCAAGAGACUGAAGAUGAAGAUGACAGUGAUUUUAGAUUUAAUAUAUUUAGGAGUUUUCUUGAUGAUUUGGAUGAUCUGAAUGACCCUGCGGAAGACGAGCUGGUGUCGCCGAACAUUACAGUGUUCCAGGAGGUGGAGGACAGAGGACAUUUUAUAGUGAUAUGCACAGAUAUACUGUGGAGAAAUCUUUUAUGGAGCUCUCCUGAACUCUCCAUAGAGAGUGAUAAUAACUACACCCUGCAGAGAGGAAUUAGAUUUACAAUCCCAGAGAUAGUUUAUAAGGUCACAGUGAGUCCACCUGUUUCCUUCACCUGUGUGCAAAAGGGUGAUUCCACAGGGAACAUCACAGAACUGCACAGUGAAACUUACAGCUUCAAUGAGUCUGGCCAUCCGACUAUCCAGGUUAAUAGGGUCUCAGGGGUAUAGAUAGUCUCCAUGGUUAAGGCUGAGGUGUCAGACUAGAAACAACAAGGUUUGAGUGUCCUGUGGUCUGUGUGUUAUAAGUUCACAAGCCAAAACAUUGCUUUGCCGGUCAUUGGUUUUGCAUUUCUUUGUAAUUUCAGGUCAUCUCGAGGAAGGAGUGUCUUCAUUCUACAUUUGCUUUGUCUCUUUUAUCGCCGUUGGUCUCAUCUUAAUGACCGUGGCUGUGAUAGUGACCAGCUUAAAGAGGAACUCGAAAGAACCCACCACUGGAGCAACCAACAAUGACUAUGAGAAUGCCUAAAUCUUGAAGCUUUCUGAAGAAGAAGAGAGAUAAAGAGAGGAAGAAAUAAACACAGCAAGCUGAUCAGUAAUUGAAUGUGUGUAAAAAAUCUAUUCAAAUUAUUAUUACAGAGUUUACAACACCCAGGUGUUUUACUAAAUAUUUCUUAGUUCUUUAACAACGUUUUUUUUUUAACUUUAUAUUAGAGGUUUAUAGUCACUGGUUUAAUUAUUCUAUGCUAUAGCUGUUGUUGCAUCUGACUAUACACGUUUCAUGCUUUUGAUUUUGUUGCAUAAUACUUGUUUCAAAGAAGUCCUAAUUAUGUUUAUUUUCAUUAGAGAAUAAGAAUUGUUGAAACCAAGUUAACAAGUAUGGUUUUGUAACAAUCAAUAAAGUAGGAUA